GCGGCCAUGGCAGCUGUAGUAUCGGCGACUCCGGGUCAAGGCCCGGUCGAGUGCAGUACCACGGGCAGCACCGGGUAUAGGGCAGAGACAGCUUUGUGUCAACUUUGCUGCUGAACCCCUAGGACCCAUCGUUAGAGACCUGCAGGACUCCUUUCCUCAUCCCAGGCUCGGAGGAGAGUUUGCUGGGACUGGUGGGCUGGUUUCCUGCUCUGGGGGGCGGAUCACCUUCGGGGCCGCCUCUUGGAGACAGGGGCGCCUAGGGAACGAACAGGUUCGCUUGAGUCACUUACCCGCCGCCACCUAAGACAUUGUGCCACCCUCAAUCCGACAAUCGAAGAAAUCGAUCAUUCGCACAUUUUCCCCAUUGACUUUUCCCGUCUCUGUUAACCCACGAGAAUCUAAUGACUGGCAUCUGAGAACCCAGAGCCUGGGACCUUAGAUUGCUGUAAGCUUUCUCUGGUGCUAAUAUCAGCAAAAAGGGUCUGUUUCCGGGUACGUUCAAGAGGAAGGUGCCUCGUGAACACAUCUGCUGGUGGGGAGGCCUAAAGAACUGGAAAGCCCACUCUCUUGGAACCACCACACCUGUUUAAAGAACCUAAGCACCGUUUAAAGCCACUGGAAAUUUGUUGUCUAGUGGUUGUGGGUGAAUAAAGGAGGGCAGAAUGGAUGAUUUCAUCUCCAUUAGCCUGCUGUCUCUGGCUAUGUUGGUGGGAUGUUACGUGGCCGGAAUCAUUCCCUUGGCUGUUAAUUUCUCAGAGGAACGACUGAAGCUGGUGACUGUUUUGGGUGCUGGCCUUCUCUGUGGAACUGCUCUGGCGGUCAUCGUGCCUGAAGGAGUACAUGCCCUUUAUGAAGAUAUUCUUGAGGAUGCCAAAACGGUUGUGCCCAGAUCAGCUGCAGACAAGAGCAGAGCUUUGAAUGGAAAUGGAACCCAAGUGGGAUCAAGAUCCUGGAGCUUUUUUUUCAAAGAAUUGUAACAGAAGAUGAAACAUGGCUUUACCAGUACGAUCCUGAAGGCAAACCACAUUUCAAAGCAAUGGCUACUGAGAAGUGGAAGUGGUCAGUCAAAGCAAAAGUGGGUCGGUUAAGAGCAAAGGUCACUGGCAACAGUAUUUGGGGAUGUGCAAGGCAUUUUACUUGUUGAUUUUCUAGAGUGUCAAUGAACCAUAACAUCUGUGUAUUAUGAGAGUGUUUUAAAAAAGUUAGCCAAAGUGUUAGCAGAGGAAUGCCCAGAAAUGCUUGAUCAGAGUCCUUCACCACGACAAUGUUCCUGCUCGUUGCUCUCAUCAGACAAGGGCAAUUUUGUGAGAUUUUCAGUAGGAAAGUUUUGGGCAUCAGCUUUAUAGUCCUGAUUUGGCUCCUUCCAACUUCUUUUUGUUUCCUAAUCUUAAAAUCUAUAAAGGGUACCCAUUUUUCUUCAGUUAAUAAUGUAAAAAGACUGCAUUGACAUGGUUAAAUUUCCAGGACCCUCAGUUAUUUAGGGGUGAACUAAAUAGCUGGUAUCAUCAUUUACAAAAGUGUCUCACACUUGAUAGAGCUUAUGUUCAGUAAUAAUGUUUAUAUUUUUAAAUUUUUUUAAUCUUUUAAUUUCAUUUUUCCACAAGCUUUUUGAAGUCCCCUUAUAUUGUUCUGUGUAUCACUAGUUUGUACCUUUUUUUUCUGAGUAGUAUUUCAUUGUUUGCAUGAACCAUAUUUGGCUAUUCCUUCACCAGUUGGAAGAUAUAUAUAUAUGGGUGGUUCCUGGUUUGGGUGACUAUGAA
rnacentral:sRNA from 1 species